rnacentral:rRNA from 1 species
GAUGAACGCUAGCGGCAGGCUUAAUACAUGCAAGUCGAGGGGCAGCAUGAUGUAGCAAUACAUUGAUGGCGACCGGCAAACGGGUGCGGAACACGUACACAACCUUCCUACAAGUGGGGAAUAUCCCAGAGAAAUUUGGAUUAAUACCCCGUAACAUAUAGAGAUGGCAUCAUUUUUAUAUUAUAGCUACGGCGCUUGUUGAUGGGUGUGCGGCUGAUUAGAUAGUUGGCGGGGUAACGGCCCAACAAGGCUACGAUCAGUAGCUGAUGUGAGAGCAUGAGCAGCCACACGGGCACUGGGACACGGGCCCGACUCCUACGGGAGGCAGCAGUAAGGAAUAUUGGACAAUGGACGCAAGUCUGAUCCAGCCAUGCCGCGUGAAGGAUUAAGGUCCUCUGGAUUGUAAACUUCUUUUAUAAGGGACGAAAAAAGGUCUUUCUAGAUCGUCUGACGGUACCUUAUGAAUAAGCACCGGCUAACUCCGUGCCAGCCGCCGCAGUAACAC